GUUGAGGCCCCGAGGCGCAACGAGAGUGAAGGCCGGCUGCGGUCCGGCCGAGGCGGGAUCCGGCCCCCAGGGGGCCGGCGCACCGCCGCCCUGCCACGAGCCCCCGCGGCUGUGGCGGAGGAAGAGCGGGCACGCUAGGAUAUGCCCGAGCAGGACGAAGCCAGAGGAAACUCUGGUGGAGGUCCGCAGCGAUUCUGACGUGCAAAUCGAUCGUCCGACUUGGGUAUAGGGGCGAAAGACUAAUCCAACCGUCUA
rnacentral:rRNA from 1 species